rnacentral:rRNA from 1 species
UACGAAGGGUGCAAGCGUUACUCGGAAUUACUGGGCGUAAAGCGUGCGUAGGUGGUUUGUUAAGUCUGAUGUGAAAGCCCUGGGCUCAACCUGGGAACGGCAUUGGAAACUGGCUUACUAGAGUGCGGUAGAGGGGUGUGGAAUUCCCGGUGUAGCAGUGAAAUGCGUAGAGAUGUGGAGGAACACCGAUGGCGAAGGCAGCCUUCUGGGCCAACACUGACGCUCAUGCACGAAAGCGUGGGGAGCAAACAGG